UACAGAGGGCUCAAGCGUUGUUCGGAUUCAUUGGGCGUAAAGGGUGUGUAGGUGGCGCCGUAAGUCGGGUGUGAAAUCUCGGAGCUUAACUCCGAAACUGCAUUCGAUACUGCCGUGCUUGAGGACUGGAGAGGAGACUGGAAUUUACGGUGUAGCGGUGAAAUGCGUAGAUAUUAGGAAGAACACCAGUGGCGAAGGCGGCUCACUGGCCCGGUACUGACGCUGAGGCGCGAAAGCGUGGGGAGCAAACAGG
rnacentral:rRNA from 1 species